AAACAUAGCUCCUUGAAAAAUAUUAGGAGUAAUGCCUGCCCAGUGAUAAUAAUAAAUUAAACGGCCGCGGUAUCUUGACCGUGCAAAGGUAGCAUAAUCAUUUGUUCUUUAAUUGAGGACUAGUAUGAAAGGCAAAACGAAAGCUAAACUGUCUCCUUUUUAAAAAAAGAAUUUAUUAUUUUUGUGAAGAAACAAAAAUAAAAACGCAAGACGAGAAGACCCUGUCGAGCUUUAAGAAAUUUUUUAUAAAAUAAAAUUUUAAAUAUAAAAAUAAUACCUAAAAAAUUUAAAUAAAAAUAUCUUUGGUUGGGGCAACCACGAAGAAAAAGUAACCUUCGUUUAAAAAAUAAAAUUUACAAAUUUAAAAAUUUUAAAAAAUAAUAAUGAUCCAGCAAAUCUGAUCAAAGAAACAAGUUACCGCAGGGAUAACAGCGUUAUUCUCUUUGAGAGUUCGUAUUGACAAGAGAGUUUGCGACCUCGAUGUUGGACCGGGACAUCCUAGAGGCGCAACAGCCUCUAAAGGUAGGUCUGUUCGACCAAUAAAGUCCUACGUGA
rnacentral:rRNA from 1 species